AAGUCGUAACAAGGUUUCCGUAGGUGAACCUGCGGAAGGAUCAUUAGUGAAUAAACGUGUCGGUCUUCGCUUCGGCAAGGCCUUCACACCCUCACAUCCAUAACACCUGUGAACCGUAAGAUGUGGUGACUUGUCGCCCAUCUGCCCCUUUUAAAAACAUCUUUAGUAACAAAAGUAGUCUUAUUAUAAUCUAAUAAAA
rnacentral:misc_RNA from 1 species